UUUGUGUCGGGUGUGAGGGAGGCGCAGAUAUGGGGAGCUCGGAGGAGAAGGUGGUAGCUGUUAUCAUGUCGGCGGACCCACUAAAGGCACUCGAUUUCGGCCACUUUCUUUUAAUACUCCCAAGCCUCUUUUCCCUUUGGCUGGCCAGCCCAUGGUUCACCAUCAUAUUUCUGCUUGGCAAAGGGUAUGCCUUUUGAUUGGUGUUUUUGAGUAAAAUUCCAUCCUGGAAAGGACUACUAGAAGAAGAAGAAGAUAUCCGUAUCUUUCCGUUGUGAUUCAGCAUUAGAAUUCGACCGUGCUGUUUGUGCAGAUCAAGAACUUGGCACAAAUAUUUCUGAUUGGUUUUUACGAGGAGAGAGAAUUUGCUUUAUACGUCUCUUCAAUCUCCAGUGAGCUUAGAGUCUCUGUCAUCAGAUAUUUGAAAGAAGACGAGCCUCAUGGUUCGGCGGGGGCCUUUAUUACUUCAGAGAUCUCAUCAUGGAAGAUUCUCCUUCCCAUAUCUUUUUGCUGAAUUGUGGUGUCUGUUGCAACUUUCCAUCGGCAGACAUGCUUGAAAUCAAGGUAUGAUCGAAUUGUAGCAUGAAAGUUGCAAUAUAUACCACACAGUUGUCUUGCACUCUAAUGUUGGAUGGCAGCCAUCUCUUGGGAAGUGGUCUCGUGUCCAGGCUGAAGGAGACUAUACAAUGCGAAGCUUGGAAUUACCAUGCUAGGGGAAGCUGUGACCGUUGAAGAUGAGGUUGUGGUGAUCAACUCCAUCGUUCUUCCUCACAAGACACUUAAUAUGAGCGUGCAGGAAGAAAUCAUUCUGUGAGAUAAUCAAGCUUUGGAAGGAUCAAAGCUUGGUCCCUGCUUCAGUGAUAUAAUCAUACAAGUGUAACAAACUUAACAGUACAUCACCAAUUUUUAUAAGAUGCCAUACAGGGAGAUGUUUAUCUAUAUGAUAUUACCAAAUCUAUCCAAUAUGGAACUGCAUGUAAAACUUUUAACCCUAGCAAAACUUCGGUUUAUGAUAUUCUGACUUUUGUAGAA